rnacentral:lncRNA from 1 species
AGGGAAUUUAUAAUUAUCAAAGAAGCAAGAUCUUGAAACAGCUUUUCAAGGGGACAAGGCAAAAAAAUAGCCCCCUUUACAAAAGAUUUGUGAUCUAAAUUAAGGAGUAUGUUGUUGUAAUAAAAGAAGAAAUCUUGAAAGGAUGAUGAGAAGAUUGGAAUACUUCAUCACACAAAACAAACUUGGAGACUGACAUUUAGAAAAAAAAAGGAUAAAAACAAAAAUAUGAACAAGAAGCUGUCACUGGGAAAGUCACUGGAUAGUCCAAAAUAACAAAAGACAAGACAACAGGUCAGCGAACAUAUGGUGAAAAUGGUCUGGAU